CCUACGGGAGGCAGCAGUAGGGAAUAUUGCUCAAUGGGGGAAACCCUGAAGCAGCAACGCCGCGUGGAGGAUGAAGGUUUUCGGAUUGUAAACCCCUUUUGUUAGAGAAGAUAAUGACGGUAUCUAACGAAUAAGCACCGGCUAACUCCGUGCCAGCAGCCGCGGUAAUACGGAGGGUGCAAGGGUUACUCGGAAUCACUGGGCGUAAAGCGCGCGUAGGCGGGAUAGCAAGUCAGAUGUGAAAUCCUAUGGCUUAACCAUAGAACUGCAUUUGAAACUGGUAUUCUAGAGUAUGGGAGAGGUAGGUGGAAUUCUUGGUGUAGGGGUAAAAUCCGUAGAGAUCAAGAGGAAUACUCAUUGCGAAGGCGACCUGCUAGAACAUAACUGACGCUGAUGCGCGAAAGCGUGGGGAGCAAACAGGAUUAGAUACCCGGGUAGUC
rnacentral:rRNA from 1 species